rnacentral:lncRNA from 1 species
CUCUGCAAGAAGCUAAUGGGUGCUCUAAUGGAAAGACUGAACGUGAAAGAAACAGACGAAAAGAAAGAAUCUUUACUAAUGGGUUCGAAAAGAAUUAACCUAAACUACUAUCCAAGAUGUCCAAAUCCUAAUCUCACAAUAGGCGUAGGUCGCCAUUCCGAUGUCUCUGCACUGACUUUUCUUCUGCAAGACGAAAUCGGAGGGCUUUUCGUUAGAGUAAACGAAGGAAAAGGAGAAGAAGAUGGAUGGGUUCAUGUUCCUCCUAUUGAAGGCUCACUUGUUAUCAAUGUAGGAGAUGCUGCAGAUAUUAAGCAACGGUCGAUAUAAGAGUAUAGAGCACUGUGUAAUUGCUAGUGGAAGCAAGAACAGAAUUUCUAUUCCUAUCUUUGUUAAUCCAAAACCAAGUGAUGUGAUUGGUCCUUUGCCUGAAGUUCUUGCAAGUGGAGAGAAGCCUAAAUAUAAAAACAUCCUGUAUUCUGAUUAUGUCAAGCAUUUCUUCAGGAAAGCUCAUGAUGGCAAGAAGACAGUCGGAUUUGCUGAAAUAUGAUAAAAUUUUCAUACUAUUAUUAUAUGCUGUAGUAACCCAAACAAUUUGAUUUUUUUUUUUUUUUUUUUUUUUGUUAUUAAUGUCUUUUAUCAGUGAAUUUUAUUUGUAUCUUUUUUUUUUUUUUCUUUCCUCCAUGUUCUGGAACUGUGUAUUACUGAACAAAUUAAGAGAUAUAUAAAGAAAAUUCAACAUUAUAAUAUUUAUUUCUGUAAAGAUAAUUUAUUUCUUAGCUAACUUACUAAUAAGAAUUUUUUUUUUUAUUUUUCAUAAAUAAAUAAACUACUUCUAUUCAAGAAUAUGUAGUUUAGUUUAGUUUAGUUGCUAAACUUGUUUCAAUAAUUAAAAUAAUAUCGGCUUAGAUUAUAAUUACAAAAGAAAUUCAAAGGAAAAAAUUCAAAAUAAAAAUCUAACAAACUCAAAGUGGAAGAAAUAGAGAAAGAAGAAAUUUACAUAAUAUUCAAAGGAUAAAUAUUUUUCCAAAUAAUAAUAAUAAUAAUAAUAAUUCAGAGGAAUAUAUAGUUGACUGUGGUCGUACAUUUAUGCAACUUUUCCGAGGCGGCUCAUAAGGCCAACCCAUGGGUCGAUUUCACGAAUUGAUCGUCUCUAAUAAAUUGAUAAUCAGGACUUAGUUAUUACUAAGAACGACUAAUUAACUUAUUUUGACUAAUUAACUUAUUUAUCUCAGAAAAUACUGUUAAUGAUAUGCUCUAAUUGAUUUCAUAAUUUAACCCAUGAUUAUUCUUUAUUAAUAUCCUACUAAAAAAAUUAUACGUGCAAAAUUUGGUUACAAGAGUAAAUUAUUUAAUUGAGUAACACCUAAUUAAGUAAGAUUUGAAGAUCCAUAAUGAAUCAAUAGAGUUACUUAAAUUGAAUGAAUUAAUUUAAAAGUUACAAAUAGUAUUUUCAAUGUAAGAUCGGAUUAAUGCAAGUGUUAAUAUAACUAUUUAAUUUUUUUUUUUUUAUACUUGCACGAGAUCCAGGCUCAUGUACAUUUUAACAGUCCACAAAUUUGAUUAAUUUUUACUCGCUAGGAGGUAAUAACGAUCCACCAUGCAAGUGCUUUUUGCCACAAAGCUACCUUAAUUCAAGCUAAUAUAACUUUAUAAUUUUAAAAUUAAAUUAUCCUUCACUAAUUAUCAAUGGAAAUCUAUUUGCGCUAAAUGCUGAAUUUCUAAGAGAAAAUAAUAUAAGAAUAUUUAUUUAAUAAGUAAAUUGAUCGAACCAAAUUAAAUUAGCUACUGAUUGAUAUGAAAAGUUUCAAAAUAUAACUAAUUGAGAAUUCUAUUAGCUAUCAACGCUGCUGAUUAAAAAGUUUAUAUCAAACAUCUAUAACUUAACUGUUUAAUAUGAAUGAUUUAUUAGUUACAUGAAUCAGUUGAAUAAAAUAAUAGUUUAAUUAUAUGAGCCAAAUUAAUAAGACAUAAGAUGGAAUUUGGAAUUUUUUUUUUUUUUUGAAAAAAAAAUCAGAUAAAUUUGAAAAUAUUUCAAAGUUUUUUAUUUUGUCGAUAUUUAUUAAAAGAUUAGGUAGAAAUUAAUUGUUUUCCAUAUCUUCUAAUAAGUGAUGUUAGAGCUAGAAUGAAAUUUUAGUAUUUUUUUUUAAUAUAAAAAAUGUUUAUGCAUGACAAUAUUGCUUUUGAAUUUUAAAGUCUUAUUGUAUCAAUAGUGAAGUAAUUCAAUAUUAUAUCUGUCUUGUAAAAUAAUAAAAAAAAGUUCAAAAUCUUAUUUGUUCAUCAAUUAAAGUGUUUUUUUUAUUCAUUUUAUCUUAUUUAUUCACAAUAUUAAUUUCAAUUGGAUAAAUGAUACUCCCUAUCUUUAUGUAAAGAAUAACUGGAUAUUUGUUCCAUUUUAUAGAUAAUCUAUCCAUAAACAAUAUUAAUUGAUCUGUUAAUUGAGGGAGAGCCAAUUCAUACAAUGAGAUUCAAACUGAAGCAUUAAUUAUGCGAUUUACAACCAAAAAUGGAGGGAAGGAGUGAGAUAAUGCAUUAAACUCUGAAAAAUUUUCAAAUAUAUGUGCGCAAAUGUAAUGAAAAUGUGGAGCCAAAAUUUUUAUUAUUCUCACUAUUUCUUCAACUUCUACAAUAUGCCCAUAUGUAAAUUUAAAACAAGACACAAAUGUGUAAUUGCAUUCACAAGCUUUUCAAAAAAAGGUUAAUAGAAGGAAAGCAACAAUAAUUGUUGUAACAUGAAUCCAUCAUUUUCAUUUUAUCUUAAUGACAUUCCAAUCAAUUCGCCAAAUAUUCUCAAGAUAUGGCCACAACUUUCUAACCGCUAAAUUUAAACUCUUUAUUGAUGAAGAACAAAGCAUUGUGGUUGUUCUUGAAAUUAGUUAAUCCCAAAAUAUUGUUGCACGAAAACAUAUACUUUAUGAUGUAAAAAAUUAUAGGAGCACCAUACUUUUUACUAAGUUACAACAAGAUAACCUAAAUGUGUAAUUAUGAAAAAGUUGUGGCCACAUUUAGUAUAUUUUUUAAAGUCAAUUUAUAUAUGUAUGUAUCGCCCCACAUUUUAUUUGAAGAACAUGAGUAUAAAUUUUUAUCAAUGCUCAGUUAAAUUAUAAAAUUACAUUAAGUUAGUCGGAAUUAACGAAAUUCAUGUACAUAUUUACAAGGGGUAAUAUUAACAUAAAAUGAUCUUUUAAUACAAGGGUGUAACCUUCUAAUUGUGCAUCCAUAUUAUAGAAAAUUACACAACUUGUCACUUAUAUUUGUGCUCACAUUCAUAAAAGUACAUUGUUAAAAUUGAGUACACUUUAAAAGUACACAGAAAAUAGUAAUUUAGUCAUACUAUGAAAACACAAGUACAAUAAAUAUCAUUCCUUUUUUGUCUAUCACUUUUCUUAUUCAGUGAGCAAUUUUCACAUGGAUAAAAGAGCUCACAUAUAAUGGUAUUUUGAACUUUUUCAUAGGGCAUCAUUUUCAAAGUUUAGAUGUAAAGUAAAAUCAUUAUAUAUAUAUAUAAAGGAAAAUCGUUGAUUUUUGUUGAGGGUUGACAAGACACUUCCUUUGAAAAGAGAGAGACUUUUUAAGAUUUGAGUAUUUAAUUAACUAAUUUGAGGAAAGUGAGGAAAAAAUUGUAGGUUUUUGAAGAAAAAAUAUGUUGCUCUUUUAAAAUUCUCUCUAAUUUAUGAGACAGUUUUUAAUACAAUGACUUUUAGUAUUAUUUCUUAUUAAUUCUUUAUGAGUUUGAUAAGCAUUGCAUCCUUUCAAGUAUUUCAUGAUGUAUGUUUUGAAUUUGAUAGGAUAGUCUUUCAAUAACAUAUAUAGAUUGGCUACGAAAGUUCUAAGCAUUGUUAGAUAGUUCAUUGGAGUCUCCAAAUCAAAAUCUAGGUAUUUUAAAUGAGUUUCUUAACAUUUUUUUCAGUUAUUUGAUUAUUGCCUACAUAGUUGUUCUCAAACAUUGAUCAAUCCUAUAAAUAGAAGCACUCAUUAUAUAUUUUGUACUUAACUAAUUAUUAAGUCAACUUUUUUAUUUAAAAUAACCAUAUUGGUCUUAAAUUGUGCAUUCUUAAAAGUUAAAACCAUUUCACCUUCUAAAUGAUGAUUUGUUCAUAAAUUAGCCUAAAAUAAUAUUUCAUAAAAAAAUCAGAACAAAUACAUAUAAAUGGACAAAAAAAUGUAUUACUAAAAAAUAUAUAAGAAAUGAAUUGAAAUAAAUAAAGUAAUAGCUUUUAACCUUUUAUCUAAUUUUGAUUUUCUAAAUUUAUUACUUAUAUUUCUUACUUAUCCUUCAUAAUUUUUUCAAAUUUAUUUAUUCUACGCUUAAAUAAUUACUCCAAGAAUAUAUAAGUCCUUAUUAAUUUUUCCAUCAGUAUUUUCUCUACUUCAACUGGCCAUAUAUAAAAACUAGAUUCUUUUUCUUUUUAGAUUUAUUGCAUGAAUCCGUCAUUCUUUAGUUAGAAUAAAAAUUUUCAUUUUUACACGAUACAUUUGAAUCAUACUAUCUAUACAUUGUAUACAUUUUAAUUUUUAACAGUUUAUUCAAUAUAUAUAUUUUACAUGUCAAAAAUAUUUACAUUACAUCGCAGGGUUAACCGCAUAGUUUUUAUGUAAAAGAAACACCAAACUCAGUAAGUUUUUCUGCAAGAAGAGAUCAAGGGAGUAGGAAGGAAGAAUUCUUAUAAGCUAAAUUCGAUGUAUCAGAUAGACUUUGACUAGUCAACUAUAGAUUGCUGGUCUUAAACACGUACAAAUGCAAUUAAUUCAAAAAUUAGAAAAAAAAAGAGGUAAAAUUUGAAGAGGGCAGGAAAUUGCACGUAUAGUGGGUUGGUGAGACAAGCCUAAUUAAAUAAAAAGAUAGAUAAAAUAAAUAAACAACUAAAACAGAAAUUCACAUGUGUUUUAAUCAACGAAGAGAAGCUAUAAAUAGCAAUGGAUAAUACACUGAUUGUCACCGCCUCUACCAUUUUCAUUCUCUUCUUCCUUCAAAUACUAAUAUUAAGAGCUAUUAUUCUCACUUACAUUCAUUUAGUUGAAGUAAAAAUGGCCCCAACAAUGUCUACUGACUCCUUUAAUCUUACUGAUUUUGUGAUUAACAAAGGAAAUGGAGUGAAGGGGCUUUCAGAUUUGGGUCUCAAAAGCCUUCCAAAGCAAUAUAUUCAACCCCAAGAAGCGUUGAUUAAUAUUAUACCUCAUGAAUCAAUUCCUGUUAUUGACAUGUCCAAUUGGGAUAGUGACCCUAAAGUUGCUGAGUCCAUUUGUGAUGCUGCAGAGAAGUAUGGGUUCUUCCAAUUGGUUAACCAUGGAGUCCCACUUGAGGUUCUUGAUGGUGUUAAGGAUGCGACACAUCGUUUCUUUGGGUUACCAGCUGAAGUUAAGAGGAAUUACUCCAAGGAGCUUUCUUCUACUAAUAAUGUCAGGUUUGGUACAAGCUUUAGCCCUGAUGCUGAGAAAGCACUUGAAUGGAAAGAUUAUCUUAGCCUUUUUUAUGUCUCUGAAGAUGAAGCUUCUGCUUUGUGGCCUUCUGCUUGCAAGUAAUUAUUUUUAAACUCAACUGAACUCUGCUUUAUUUAUUUAUUCUUCUUUUCUUGAGUCAGCUUAUGCUUCGAACAAAUUUACUAACAAACUAAUACUAAUUGUUGAUUUUCUGGUACAGGGAUGAAUGCUUGGAAUACAUGAAAAGAUCAGAAAUCCUCUGCAAGAAGCUAAUGGGUGCUUUAAUGGAGAGAUUGAACGUGAAAGAAAUAGACGAAAAGAAAGAAUCUUUACUAAUGGGUUCGAAAAGAAUUAACCUAAACUACUAUCCAAGAUGUCCAAAUCCUAAUCUCACAAUAGGCGUAGGUCGCCAUUCUGAUGUCUCUGCCCUGACUUUUCUUCUGCAAGACGAAAUCG